rnacentral:rRNA from 1 species
AAUGAACGCUGGCGGCAUGCCUAACACAUGCAAGUCGAACGAAGGCUUCGGCCUUAGUGGCGCACGGGUGCGUAAUGCGUGGGAAUCUGCCCCUUGGUUCGGAAUAACAGUUAGAAAUGACUGCUAAUACCGGAUGAUGACGUAAGUCCAAAGAUUUAUCGCCGAGGGAUGAGCCCGCGUAGGAUUAGCUAGUUGGUGUGGUAAGAGCGCACCAAGGCGACGAUCCUUAGCUGGUCUGAGAGGAUGAUCAGCCACACUGGGACUGAGACACGGCCCAGACUCCUACGGGAGGCAGCAGUGGGGAAUAUUGGACAAUGGGCGAAAGCCUGAUCCAGCAAUGCCGCGUGAGUGAUGAAGGCUUUAGGGUUGUAAAGCUCUUUUACCCGGGAUGAUAAUGACAGUACCGGGAGAAUAAGCUCCGGCUAACUCCGUG